AGAAAGAAACACUCAAUAAAAAUAACAACAAUCAGCCAUGAUUAAUGAUACCACAGAGCUACACAUCACCUCUAUGAAUACUUAACAUGAACUGACCUGUUUGAAAAAUUCUGAAUUGUUAAACACUGACUGGGGGAAUCAGUUGGUUUGCCUGACACUCUAGAUAUGUUUA